rnacentral:misc_RNA from 1 species
CCCUUUUAUAUCCUGUGCUGCUUCACUCUUUUUCUUGCUACAAAAGAUCAGAUCCCACCCCUGGACUCUUCGGUAGCGUUGAAAAAAUGAGAGUGAACAGGCUUAAUCUCAGCCGCCUGAUCAUCAUGUGGUUCUAUGUUGUUCUUCUUUCGCUUGUGUUCUCCGCGAGAGCACAGCCCACCACUGGAAAACAGGAGAACCAAUAUAAAUUGUACUCAAAUUUCGAUCCAACGAUGGCCACAGUGAUCGUCGUGCUCAUUUGUGCUUUCUUCUUCAUUGGAAUUUUCUCCGUCUUCAUCCGUCAGUGUUCUGAGAACGCAAUUGUUGGUAACCUCCCCA